CCAGUAUGUGUGGAGCCGUCCUUGAAAUACCACCCUUGUAGUGUUGAUGUUCUAACGUCGACCCCUUAUCGGGGUUGCGGACAGUGCCUGGUGGGUAGUUUGACUGGGGCGGUCUCCUCCCAAAGAGUAACGGAGGAGCACGAAGGUGGGCUAAUCACGGUUGGACAUCGUGAGGUUAGUGCAAUGGCAUAAGCCCGCUUGACUGCGAGAAUGACAAUUCGAGCAGGUGCGAAAGCAGGUCAUAGUGAUCCGGUGGUUCUGAAUGGAAGGGCCAUCGCUCAACGGAUAAAAGGUACUCCGGGGAUAACAGGCUGAUACCGCCCAAGAGUUCAUAUCGACGGCGGUGUUUGGCACCUCGAUGUCGGCUCAUCACAUCCUGGGGCUGAAGUCGGUCCCAAGGGUAUGGCUGUUCGCCAUUUAAAGUGGUACGCGAGCUGGGUUUAGAACGUCGUGAGACAGUUCGGUCCCUAUCUGCCGUGGGCGUUGGAAGAUUGAAGGGGGCUGCUCCUAGUACGAGAGGACCGGAGUGGACGAACCUCUGGUGUUCGGGUUGUGUCGCCAGACGCAUUGCCCGGUAGCUAAGUUCGGAAUCGAUAACCGCUGAAAGCAUCUAAGCGGGAAGCGAGCCCUGAGAUGAGUCUUCCCUGAUACUUUAAGUAUCCUAAAGGGUUGUCGGAGACUACGACGUUGAUAGGUCAGGUGUGUAAGUGCUGUGAGGCAUUGAGCUAACUGAUACUAAUUGCCCGUGAGGCUUAACCAUACAACACC
rnacentral:rRNA from 1 species